AAAAUAACUCCCGGCAAUUCAGUAGCUCUUUUGAAUUGCUCUAGUAAACAGCUCCGGCAUUGAGUUUUUAGAAUAAAAAAAUGAGCGAAUACCAAUAUUUGACUUCGGAAAUCCAAGUGCCGAAAGAAUGGCCGGUGAACAUUGCACGACAAUUAUUUGAACAUCUUGUUAAAAAUGCAACGAUACGUCAUCGAAAAGGUCAGCAAGUAGUCGUUACCAUAGAAAACGUAUCGGCAGUAGUUACCAAAUUUGAAAACAAGCCGGGAUAUAUUUUAGAAAAAAUAGAAGAAAUAAAAGAUGAAAGUACUUACAAAAUAGAUCUUAUUUUUCCGGCGAAAGUUGUGAUUCUGCCGCUCAAACCUGGCGGGAU